AUCUAGCUGACGAGUCCCAAAUAGGACGAAACGCGCGUCCAACUGGAU
rnacentral:hammerhead_ribozyme from 1 species